CCCUUAGAUGUUCUGGGCCGCACGCGCGCUACACUGACGAAUGCAACGAGCUUAUAACCUUGGCCGAAAGGUCUGGGUAAUCUCCAAAUUUCGUCGUGAUGGGGAUAGAUUAUUGCAAUUAUUAAUCUUCAACGAGGAAUGCCUAGUAAGCGCAAGUCAUCAGCUUGCGUUGAUUACGUCCCUGCCCUUUGUACACACCGCCCGUCGCUCCUACCGAUUGAAUGGUCCGGUGAAGCGUUCGGACCGUGGCCUUUGGACGGUUCGCCGUCUGUUGGCCGCGGGAAGUUCGUUAAACCUUAUCAUUUAGAGGAAGGAGAAGUCGUANCA
rnacentral:rRNA from 1 species